CCUACGGGUGGCUGCAGUCGAGAAUCAUUCACAAUGGGGGAAACCCUGAUGGUGCGACGCCGCGUGGGGGAAUGAAGGUCUUCGGAUGGUAAACCCCUGUCAUGUGGGAGCAAAUUAAAAAUAUAGUACCACAAGAGGAAGAGACGGCUAACUCUGUGCCAGCAGGCGCGGUAAUACAGAGGUCUCAAGCGUUGUUCGGAAUCACUGGGAGUAAAGGGUGCGUAGGCUGUUUCGUAAGGCGUGUGUGAAAGGCGCGGGCUCAACCCGCGGACGGCACAUGAUACUGCGAGACUAGAGUAAUGGAGGGGGAACCGGAAUUCUCGGUGUAGCAGUGAAAUGCGUAGAUAUCGAGAGGAACACUCGUGGCGAAGGCGGGUUCCUGGACAUUAACUGACGCUGAGGCACGAAGGCCAGGGGAGCGAAAGGGAUUAGAUACCCCAGUAGUC
rnacentral:rRNA from 1 species